rfam:Camelus ferus unplaced genomic scaffold scaffold238, whole genome shotgun sequence.
GAGGGCGUGGCUCAGUGGCAGAGCGUGUGCCUAGCAUGCACAAGGUCCUGGGUUCAAUCCCCAGCACCUCCA